rnacentral:rRNA from 1 species
ACCCUACGGGUGGCUGCAGUGGGGAAUAUUGCGCAAUGGGGGAAACCCUGACGCAGCGACGCCGCGUGAAGGAAGAAGGCCUUCGGGUUGUAAACUUCUUUGAUCGGGGACGAAGGAAGACGGUACCCGAGGAACAAGCCACGGCUAACUACGUGCCAGCAGCCGCGGUAAUACGUAGGUGGCGAGCGUUGUCCGGAAUUACUGGGCGUAAAGGGCGUGUAGGCGGGGGGACAAGUCAGAUGUGAAAUACUGCAGCUUAACUGCGGGGCUGCAUCUGAAACUGUUCUUCUUGAGUGUCGGAGAGGAAAGUGGAAUUCCCAGUGUAGCGGUGAAAUGCGUAGAGAUUGGGAGGAACACCAGUGGCGAAGGCGGCUUUCUGGACGACAACUGACGCUGAGGCGCGAAAGCGUGGGGAGCAAACAGGAUUAGAUACCCCAGUAGUCUG